AGAGAGUACAAAACGCACCGUUUUGAGCACCAGCGUCUCCUCAACAUCACAAAUCACAAUGUUGUUCUCAUAGGAGGAAGAGAAGGAACCAACCAGACGCAAACCCACCAUUGAAGAGAAGGCCACCGAACUGCAUGGAAUUUGGGGACCCAACAAUCGAAUCAAAUGGAAAAUUUGGAUUUAGUGAUUUAGGAAUUGCUGCUCUCUUUUGUUGUGGGUUGACGACUUUCUGCUCUUUUGAUUCCUUCAUGGUGGAUUCGAGGCUGCUUUGAGUGAAAUUAGGCAUUUAGAGAAGCUGAAAAAGAAGAGAAUUUGUUGCUCUGUUAAGAACCGUUAAUUUGCAAAGCGGUGCGUUUUGCGCUCGCUCUCCUUUUUCUUU